GGCAUUGUGAAAACUACUCCUGGUCUUUGAUCCUCUUCUGGGAAACUCUCAGGGGCUGUGCCUAAUCCUGGGAUUACUGACAUCUGUACAUCAUUUCAGUGGUAAAUUACAGCUGGGACAUGCUAACCCCAAAGUUCACAGUCCAAGAGUAGAAAUGUAUGUGCAAGCGGUCACUGUACCCGUGCCCACAAAUGUAGGAUGCAGCAGAAUCUGGUUUUCCCUUUGUGCUGCUGCAGUCUGGCAAACCAGGCCAGCCAACCAAAGAUGUAAUUUCUCCACUCCUCGAACAUCUGGUGUAGGCUCUCCAUGCUCAUAAUCAUCCUGCCAGUGCCCACCCUGCAGGUGCAGGGGCGUACAGGGCAGGUUCUGAGAACACAG